GGAAAGAUGGCCUAGGAUUGAAAAACACAAAUAUUUUCUAAGGUAGUGGGGUCCCAGCCCUGCCCGAAGAUGUUUGCAAAUGCACAGAAGGCAGGGGCAGCCCCCUGGGGAUUUUGAUUCAUCAGAUUAGCUUUGCUCCACGUGAGGCAGAAAACUGUGUUUCUAGUCAGCUGAUGGGAGUCAGGAGAAAGGGGAGAAGAAAGACUGGCUGCAGGAAGAAAGGGAGGAGAAGAGAAGUAAAUAAAAGAGGGAAGAGAGGGAUGGAGGCAGAAGAGGGACAGUGGCUUGGAGUGAGGAGAAGUGAAGUGGUUCACUAGAAGAGAACCAAAAAGACAGAGGAAAGAGGGAAGUGAAAAUGGCCUCGCCCUCAGCUUCUGCUUCUGGGGCCCUCUGCCUCCAGCCUCCCCGCUCACCCAGCUCUACUCUGGGCCAAGAGCAGCUGGGGUCCCUCCUUCCAUGGUGCCAGGUGAGGGACAGUGCUCUGCAGGCACCUGGGGGCAGUUUGGAGCCUAAUCCUGGCUGGGAUCCUGGGACUGUGGCACGGGGACCCUCCUGCUCCUUGAACACCAUUCGGGCCUAGCCUCCACUCCAGACACUUUCCAUGCAACUUGACCAGAACAAAUCCACACCUGUCACCCACCACCAGGAGCUUCCACCCUUCGAUUCCCCUCCUGGGAACUUCACAUAGGCCUGAUAUGCUUUCUCUGCACCAAAGCCUCCUCUUAGGUGGCUCAGUUAGCACCAGGACUCAGCUGUGCCGCUC
rnacentral:lncRNA from 1 species